rnacentral:rRNA from 1 species
GUGAGGAAUUUUCCGCAAUGGGCGAAAGCCUGACGGAGCAAUGCCGCGUGAAGGAUGAAGGCCUAUGGGUUGUAAACUUCUUUUCUCAGAAAAGAAUUAUGACGGUAUCUGAGGAAUAAGCAUCGGCUAACUCUGUGCCAGCAGCCGCGGUAAGACAGAGGAUGCAAGCGUUAUCUGGAAUGAUUGGGCGUAAAGCGUCUGUAGGUUGUUUAAAAAGUAUUCUGUCAAAGAUUAGGGCUUAACCCUAGAUAGGCAGAAUAAACUUUUAAGCUAGAGUUUGGUAGAGGCAGAGGGAAUUCCCGGUGGAGCGGUGAAAUGCGUAGAUAUCGGGAGGAACACCAAAGGCGAAGGCACUCUGCUGGGCCAAUACUAACACUGAGAGACGAAAGCGAGGGGAGCAAAUGGGAUUAGAAACCCGUGUAGUCC